rnacentral:rRNA from 1 species
GACGAACGCUGGCGGCGUGCUUAACACAUGCAAGUCGAACGGAAAGGCCCUGCUUUUGUGGGGUGCUCGAGUGGCGAACGGGUGAGUAACACGUGAGUAACCUGCCCUUGACUUUGGGAUAACUUCAGGAAACUGGGGCUAAUACCGGAUAGGAGCUCCUGCUGCAUGGUGGGGGUUGGAAAGUUUCGGCGGUUGGGGAUGGACUCGCGGCUUAUCAGCUUGUUGGUGGGGUAGUGGCUUACCAAGGCUUUGACGGGUAGCCGGCCUGAGAGGGUGACCGGCCACAUGGGGACUGAGGGACGGCCCAGACUCCUACGGGAGGCAGAAGUGGGGAAUAUUGCACAGUGGGCGGAAGCGUGAUGCAGCAACGCCGCGUGCGGGAUGACGGCCUUCGGGUUGUAAACCGCUUUCGCCUGUGACGAAGCGGGAGUGACGGUAAUGGGUAAAGAAGCACCGGCUAACUACGUG